UAACGAGAAUUCCCUGUCGCUCUUCAUCUAAUGUUGUUCAGUAAUAUCAAUGCUCCCUACUGUAAAUUUGCCCACUUUUUCGUAAAAGACGAUUGAGAGCACCUCACCGUCUCUACUAUUAUCAACAUUUCCUAUUAUGGGUGACUACAGAGCGCUUGGUAGAAUGGGAUUGGUCCAUUGCGUGGUUGAUUGAUGUUACCAUAAAUACACUACGCGGGUUGGAAGUGCACUGUGGAGCAACGCAGCUGUUUAAGAGUGUGUAGUAAAAUGAAAGUCAUGCAUUAAGAACAUUGUUAAUAAAUUGCUGGACAGUUUAGAGUCACUUGGCGUAACAGAAAAGUUAGGCACAUGUACGAUGAAUUUUAUAUAUCAAGAUACUGAUUUGACUACGUAGUCAGUGGUCCUCUCCACAACAAACAUUGCAGCAGCGAGUUAAACUACUGCUGCGCCACACUACUGCCUGCGAGAAUUUUUAGAAGAAUUGUCGUUGUAGUGAAAGACGAAGGGCGUUCGUGACACGACUGAAGAGUGGGGAUACAGUUUAAAAAAAAAAAAAAAAGAGUGUUUCGUACUCGUGAAGAAGCCUGUUCUCAGCUAUGAUGGGAAUGAAGUAGUCGAUAGAUUAUGGCAUAAAAUGAUCAUGUCAUUGCAGGCAGUUGCUCAUUCAAAGGCCAUGGAUGCUUCCUUUCAAAUUCCAGGACUAACCCUCCCCAGGCGCUAAUGUCCAAGCUGUCUGCGCAUCGUUAAAUAUUACAGCUAUCACCACCUGAUAAUAAACUUCAUUUGCAUUGCUGCAUUCAUACUAACGAAUUUGACUCACCAGUGGGAUGAUUGCUCAGAAGAUUGUGUGUUCUGGGUCCAACAGUUAUCUUCAAGUGAACAGUGCACAUAUUAUGUUCCAGCUUUACUAGGCAGUGACAGUUGUUCAUCUCGUUGAACAUUCCAUAAAUUUAAUUUUCUCACAGAGAUCAGGCUGCAUCCAUUUGAAAUAUGAAAUAACUUAAAAUAAUUUUGGGCCUUUUGCAAUUGUUAUAGUGUUCAAAUUAGUCAAAAAAAAUGUUUCAACUGUAGUUCUUUGCUGUGGAUUCUGAAAUCCAGUAUAAGGCAGCAAAAAGUGUCAUUAAAGCUUGCAAGAGGUGCUUUUGCUUAUGUUUUUUUUUAAAUAAAGUUUUGACAAGUUUCAGUAGACUGAACAGGAAAAAGCUAGCACAUUUUUAUGUGGUUAAACAAUUCAAACUACCAUUUCAACUUUGUUUUUCAAAAUAUUCUUGACCUUACUGUUAAAAAUAAAAAUUAUAUUUUCUUAUAUUCACCUGUAUAACAUGAUGCUUCUCUUUGUCUGAGAGUGCAGUUAAUAUGUUAAUAAUUGAGUUUUUAAUACUGUUAUCUAACUGUGGACUGUAACAAAUUUCACCAUUUUGAGGAACAGCUUUUUCUGUUAUGUACUUGUGUGUUUAAAAGUGGUGUGUAUUCUAAUACAAUGUUGUUGAAAAAGUUUGUGCCUGCCCUGUGUUGUAGAUGAAAAGAUAUUUAACUUAUCCAGAGUAAAUUGUAUCAUAACCUAAUCUGGCACAUUGGCGUACAGUUCCUAAAGUUUUCAUAUGAAUGAAUAAAUAAAUCCUUUUGAAGUGUCAGUUUUUAUUCAGCUUUGACAUCCUUACUAAUAGAGCAGUGCAGUUGUAAUGUUACUAGAUGUGAUGUAAUCCUGCUAAGUAUGUGGCAACAGAUUUUAAAACAUUUUUUUAUGUUGCUAAAGUUUCAAGUUGUGUGUUCUUGUGUACAGAACACAGUUUUCUGGAGAAGCAAUGCACCUGUGAUGCAUGCACACAGUUGUAGGGUUUCUCCCAUCAAUAAAAACACACACACACACACACACACACACACACACACACACACACACACACACACACUCACUCACUUUACAGGUAGAGCACAGCUGGCAAAUGUUGACUGCACCAUAUAUGCUGUUAUACUUUAAGUGGGCUGUUUCCUAUUGGCACAAGUUGGUUUUCAUUAAACUGUACACAACAAAAUAUGUAUGGCUACAGCCUUUCCUUUCUCAUUCCUGUUUCUCUGGUUAAAGACAGCUUCUUAGUAAAGCACUGAAUGUUGUAAUGAGGCAUACAGUGGUAUCACUAGUAUCUAAUGAAAUACAAAACUGUAUAGCUCAUCGCGAUUUAUCUAUAGAAAGAAAGCCUCUUAGUAAAUCAGUGAAAGUUGGAAUGAGGCAUAUAAUUUUAUCUUUAGAAAUAAAAUAAAAAAUUGUAUACACUACUGAAAACACAAUAAAUCGAUGGCAGAAAUAAGUAGAAAAUAGACCAAUACUAGCAAGUUGUUAUGGGCUGAAAAUCCAAUAGAAAUGAUGAACAUGAUUACACUGGAGUCCUACAGCACUGUGGCACAUUACAUCAACACUGGACUGCUAGAUGCAUUUACAGCUUGAUUGAUAAAAUGUUUCAUAUGCUUGUUGAAUGUUGUUUGAAAUGUAAAUGUGAAACAUUUUUGUGCAAAAAUAAAAACACUCUCCUAACUCACCUGAGAACUGUGGUGGCUUAAAUGAGGGGUUUGAUCAUAAUAAUGUUAUGCUCAUUAAUAAUGGUUUGCUUCUGGAAAGGGACUAACAUAAAAUUUUGGGAUAUAUGCCUGAGGUGGAUUUGGGAAUCAGUGAAGCAAGUGGCUGUUGUCAUCUAACAUUAUGCUGACUUGCCUAAUGGAGCAACUACUUUUUGUCUAAUUGGAGGUAAAUCUUCAACACAAGAUUGAGAACUGCUUGCUUUGACUGAUAUUUUAUCCUUGUUGAGUUUGUUGAUGUUAAAUGGCCUUAGGUGACGAGCAGUUUUGUAUUUCAGAUGAUUCCACUAUGAAUUGAAGUAUCAGAAUUACUAUACAAUUUAUUUUGAAAUGAGCUACUUGAGACCUGAAAGGAAAUAGCCAUAAAAACAUGAGUAGUCAGUAGCAAAAAAACUUUUCAUGCUGUUUGUGCUAUCUUUUGCUUAAAAUUAGAAAUAAGCAUGUUAGUGCAUAGUUGUAUUUAUGCUGUCCCUGCAGGAUGAUAGCUUGCAGGUCAGCAGACAGAAACGUGAAGUUCUAUUUCAUAGCCUUCAGUACCUAGCUUUUGAGUUACAUAAUACUGUAAAAUAUUUUAUUAACAUAUCCUCAUUUAUAUGUGGAGGAAGAUAUCCCCUUGCUUACCUGCUCUUGUGGAAAUUAUUGACAAAAUGACAUUUUGAAAUUGGCCUGUUGUCUAUGCUUCCAUAUAUGCUUAAUGAUAGACAUUGAGAGCUGUUUGCAUUUUUGUAUUUACUGAAGUAGUCUCUUGUAGUUUGCCUGAGAUAUACUUUAUCUACAUUUAUAUAGCUGCAUUUCAACUUGUAUAGCUAACAAGAUCACAAUUACAAUGUUUGUUACAGUGUUAAGUUUUCACUGAAAUAUGAAUAGUUUGGAAAUAAUGUUUCAAGUCUAUUAAAGAUGUUCAACUACUACUAUAAAUUCCAUGUAUUAGGAGCAGAGAUGUUAGAUUUACCAUCCACGAGCAAAUAGUUUAUUUUAAUAAAGAGGAUUGGCAGUAGUUAAUUUACAGGUAAAGGUUUUAAGUGCUAUGAUACCCACAAGUUAGACAAAAACAGCAAUAAUCUGUGAAACAUGUAGUGUACAUGCUGAUUACUAGUAGUCCAGAACAUUAAAUUUGUGGAAAAAUUGCAUUUAUUGAUUGCAAUCAUUAUUGUAAUUACAGACGCACAAGUGUUAUUUGUAUCAUUUACUACAAAUCUUUUUUGUUGGUGCCAUAAUGGGCUUGCUGUAAAACUAAAAUUUCACUGUUACAUGUAUGGUAAUUAUGUGAAGUUAAGGGGCUACAUGCUACAUUCUCAAAAAAAUAAAUAAAAAUUCAUAAAACAUGUAA